UUUGUACUUGACAUGUUUAUUAAGCAACAAUUUUGUAGGUCAAAGGUCAAGGUAAAACACUUACAGUUGGGAAUCCCAUGUCCUAUGGUAAAGAUUGUGUCUGUUAUUGACAGCGGGCCCACAGUGAUGGCUCCCAAUGGCCAUCUCACUGAUAUCUAGUUAUUUUCAGCUUUUUUCAGGACAAGUUAUUUAUUAUUCAAAAUCCUCCUGGCCCUCAACAUGGUCGUCCCCUUAAAUAGUGUUUGAAGGUAGAAUUUGCUAGAUAUUUUAAUUUUUCUAAUUUUGCCUUUUAUAAAGAACUUCUAAUAUGAAGCCUACAUACUUUUAAGCAUUUUAUCAAAUUACUUUGAACUCAUUUUCAACUUAGUAAAAAAGCUUGAAAAGUUGUAUCCCUGUGUUUAAAAGUAAUAAAAACUUUUUAAAUGCAUUUUUAGCUCACCUAGCCUAAAAGGCCAUGUGAGCUUAUGCCAUCACUUGGCGUCGUCUGUCAUCCGUUGUCCGUCGUCGUAAACUAUUUCAAAGAUCUUGGAUCUUCUCUGAAUCGCAUUUAUCCAUACUCAUAGUUGACUAAAGACUAUAUUAUCAUACAAAAAUCACGUUUCUAUACAUAGAAGUCCAUACAUAAAGUAUACCUGAGUUUGAUUGCAUUUUUUUAAGGACACAGAGAAGACAAAAAUACCGUUAAAGAUUUUUACGCAUGACAGGAGGAUAAGAAAAGGUGUAUUUGCCUCUUCAUUUGCAGAUAUGGUCAAUAAAUGUAAGGAAAAGUUUACUAUUGCAGAGGUCAACCAUAUAACAUUUGUUCUAAAUGAAGAUGGUGUGGAAAUAGAUGACGAAUUUUUUUCAACUCUCACACCAAACACAAUCCUCAUGAUUUUGAACGAAGGUGAAACAUGGAACAAGCAGUUUGAAUCCAGUGGUAGAGAGCAAGACACAUCAGCACCAGGCAUGGAAGUGUCUACCUCAAAAAUAAUGGGUUUCAUUGAACAAGCCAGAGCUUCAAAAAGAAAAUGUACCAAUUUACCAGGAACAUCUGCACAGAAACUGCCAAAACCAGAUAUAGUUAAACUAGGUAUCGGUUGGCAGCAUUAUUCCUAUAACACUUCAUCUUAUCACCAAGUAAGAAGCUCCCGAAAUAAGCAGAUUCCAUCACAUGAUAUCAACCUGGCAUAUAAUAAAGACUACGAAGAAACUCUUCAAUGUUUACAAGACAUUUUUUUCAAAAAUGGCAGAAACUUUAAAGGCAGAAUUAGUGAAAUGGAGUUGAGGAUUGGUAAUAGUGCAGGGAGAGAAAUCAGUAGGGAUGGGUUCACUGCAAAACAAUAUUUUGUCAGACACAAAAGAAACGAAUCUACUUAUUGACAAAAAUCAAGGCUCAGCACAUAACAAGUCUAGAUUUUUCUAUUACUUCUGAUUCUGAGGAAUCAUUGCCAGAUCUUGGUUCCCAGUUUACAGAAAACCUACUUUCAUCUACCCUGCCUACAGUAACAUGUUCCACUCCUUCGAAUUCUGCACCACAGUUCACAGCACAUGUAACCUCACCUGCAACAUCCACACCUAUUUCUCAGACAAGCUCUAAUAUUCUUGUUCAUGCAGGUACACCAACAGUAACCAUGCAACUACCUAAUACGGCGAGAAAAUGUAUCAUAUGUGCUGAUCGGGAAAUUGAUGCCGUCAUACAGCCAUGUUUCCACAGCCUGUGUCUGGUAUGUGGACUACAGAUACAAGAACAUUGCAGGAAAUGCCCAAUAUGCAGAGGCAACAUUGAAAAUGUCCGCUCAAUAUUUUAUUGUUAAAUUCUAGAUAUUGGACACAAAACAAUGUUUUUGAGAAAUAAUAAUAUGUAGUUUAAAGAGACCGGUCAAAUUUCUCAAGGCAUGGGACCGGUGCAAAUUAGCAUGGGACAUGGACUUUUUAAAAGCAAAAUUUCAAUGGGACCAAGAUUUUUUUCAUCUAAGAUCUGCAUGGGACAUUGACUUUUCUUUUAUUAAAUCAAAUUAAAAAAAGUUCUGACUGUAAACUAUGUAUAAUCGACUGCACAGCCACAAGGUUAAGGAUAGUUCCACAUAUUUCUUUGCAAGGAAAUGAUAAUCAUGAAAACUCUCCCAAUAAAAUUCCUGUCUGGUUGAAUUUUCAGUUUGCACAAAAUUCAGAUAGUAAUUUUUUUUUAAUUUUAUAACUUUUUCAAAUCAGUUUGGAAUUCCAUUUAACUUGACAGCUAUAAUCCCAAUUAUAUACUGUCAAAGUAAUUUGGUAUUUGGUUUAUUGCUGUCAAAUCUAUUAUCAUGUUUUAAGAAAUAGUAAAAAAAACUUUAAUUUUCAGUUCGGAUUAAAUACAGAUGGUCACCUUUAAAAAUAUCCACAACUUUGUCAAAUCAACUUUAAUUGUCAUAAAACUUGCCUUUUUUCUAUAUUAUAUACUGUUCUUACAAAUUACAAAGUUAUUUGGAAUUUGGUUUAUUGCUGUCAAACCUAUAAUGUUUUAAGAAAUAGGUAAAAAAAAGCUAUAAUUUUCAGUUCGGAUUAAAUACAGAUGGUCACCUUUAAAAAUUUCCAUAACUAUUUCAAAUCAACACUGAUCGUCUUAAAACUUGAUACUGUUCUUACAAAUUACAAAGCUAUUUGCUUACAUACUGUCAAAUCUACAAUAUUGUAAUAAAUAGUUAAAAAAGCAAAAAUAUUAACUUAAAGUACCAACUAAAUAUAGAUGUCACCUUUAAAUAUUUUUAUAACUUUUUUAAAUCAACUUUGAU